UACGGAGGGUGCAAGCGUUAUCCGGAUUCACUGGGUUUAAAGGGUGCGUAGGUGGGAAUGUAAGUCAGUGGUGAAAUCUCCGUGCUUAACAUGGAAACUGCCAUUGAUACUAUGUUUCUUGAAUUUUUCUGGAGGUCAGCGGAAUAUGUCAUGUAGCGGUGAAAUGCUUAGAUAUGACAUAGAACACCAAUUGCGAAGGCAGCUGACUACAGGGGAUAUUGACACUGAGGCACGAAAAGCGUGGGGAUCAAACAGGA
rnacentral:rRNA from 1 species